rnacentral:rRNA from 1 species
CAGCCGCCGCGGGAACACGUAGGGUGCGAGCGUUAAUCGGAAUUACUGGGCGUAAAGCGAGCGCAGACGGUUAUUUAAGCAGGAUGUGAAAUCCCCGGGCUUAACCUGGGAACUGCGUUCUGAACUGGAUAGCUAGAGUGUGUCAGAGGGGGGUAGAAUUCCACGUGUAGCAGUGAAAUGCGUAGAGAUGUGGAGGAAUACCGAUGGCGAAGGCAGCCCCCUGGGAUAACACUGACGUUCAUGCUCGAAAGCGUGGGUAGCGAACAGGAUUAGAUACCCCCGUAGUCCCUGUCUCUUAUAC